rnacentral:rRNA from 1 species
UAACCUGCCUUGUACCGGGGGAUAACUAUUGAAAACGAGCUCUUAUACCACAUAACCUUGGAUGACACAUGUCAUUUAUUUGAAAGGGGCAAUUGCUCCACUACAAGAUGGACCUGCGUUGUAUUAGCUAGUUGGUGAGGUAAUGGCUCACCUAGGCGACGAUACAUAGCCGACCUGAGAGGGUGAUCGGCCACACUGGGACUGAGACACGGCCCAGACUCCUACGGGAGGCAGCAGUAGGGAAUCUUCCGCAAUGGGGGCAACCCUGACCGAGCAACGCCGCGUGAGUGAAGAAGGUUUUCGGAUCGUAAAGCUCUGUUGUUAGUGAAG